rnacentral:rRNA from 1 species
CGCGCAGGCGGAUUCGCAAGUCAGGCGUGAAAACUCACGGCUUAACCGGGAGCCUGCGCCUGAAACUGCGGAUCUUGAGUACAGAAGAGGAGAGUGGAAUUCCUGGUGUAGCGGUGAAAUGCGUAGAUAUCAGGAAGAACACCGGUGGCGAAGGCGGCUCUCUGGUCUGAUACUGACGCUGAGGCGCGAAAGCGUGGGGAGCAAACA